rnacentral:lncRNA from 1 species
CCGUGCCCCUGCUCGCGCUGCAGCCCGUGGAAGGGUUCCGUCCAGCGUAUCCUUCAGAUCUUGCUGUAGGCCUCUGGUGUCUGUGCGCGCGCGGCAGGGGCGGCGGCGGCGACGGCCGGAGGUGUACGGUCAGCGGGUUGCGGAGGAUCGUGCGGGUCGCAAAGGGAAGCCGAGUGCUCCUGCGGCUCCCAGACUGCAACCAGAACAUGCAUCAUUAUUAGAACCAUCACCCUGCAGCUAGCUUGGAUACCAUUAAAAGGGCUCAUCAGCUGCAAACGGAUUAAAGUAUCUGAUACUCGGGAAGACAGAGUUUCAGGGUUUCUACCUGGAGCUACACCCUCAGGAAGCCCCUCCUUGGCCUCCCUGCACCCAGUCCCAUCCCAACCAGUCACAUCUUGGGCUGUGCGUGGUGUUUCUUGGAAACUGGAACACAGACUCCUCCAGCAGCUCCACAGGUCCCUUGUCCUCAAUGAGCAGAAGACUACAGGAGCUGGCUACUGAAGAGGCUGUCCAAGUAAUAGAGCACCUUCUUGGCCCUGCUUAGCACAUUUACUGCAGAGCUGGAUGCUACUUAUUUGUGCUCACCACCUUCAGGGACUGCAGAGAGAUUUGUCAGACCCUACUUCACUAAGGGCCACCCUCUAAGGAUCUCCAGAAGAGGCUGCCCAUAGAGAGAAGUGGCCUGCCUAGGGUCUCCACUUCCUCAGGUCCUACCCGGACACCUCUAGGGCUGAGGGGAUCAGUAUCUCUUCACCUGCCUGUAAUCCACAUACCAAGUGGAAGAAUCUGCCUGCUAUUUUUUGUUUGUUUGUUUGUUUUGGCGGGAAGAGUUUUAACUACUGCUGUAACUCCUUUAGUAGCUAUGGAACUGUUGAGGAUUUCUUUUUCUUCUUGAGUCGAUUUUGGUAAGAUAACAGUUUUCUAGGAGUUGGUCCAUUUUGUCUGCAUUUUCAAAUUCAUUGGCAUAAAGUUUCCUUUUUAUUCUGUGCUGUGUAUGAACUGUAACAAUGUCUCCUUUUUCAUUACUGAUAUUGGUUAUUUGUGCCUUCUCACUUUUUUUCUUGAUCAAUCUCACCAGAGGUUUAUCUAUUUUAUUAGUCUUUUCAAAGAACCAACUUUUGGCUUUGUUGCUCCUCUCUAUUGUAUCUUUGUUUUCUAUUUCUUUAAUUUCUGCUCUUAUCUUUUUUGAUCUCCUUCCUUCCACAUUUUUUGGGUUUAUUCUGUUGUUCUUUUUCUAAUUUAACUGGACAUUGAGCUCAUUAGUUUUCAUUCUUUCCCAUUUUCUAAUUUGUGCAUUUAAGGAUAUAAUUUCCCUCUAACUCCUGCUUCUCCAUAAGUUUAGAUAUGUAGUAUUUUCAUUAUUGCUCAGUUAUAAGUACUUCAUUUCUAUCAAGGUUACUUCUUUGACCUGUAAGUUAUAUAGAAAUGUGUUUUUAGAUUUCCAAAUGUUUGGGGAUUUAAAAUUUUAUCUCUUUGUUAUUGAAAUCUGUCUUAAUUGCAUUAUGGUCAGAGGAUGUGGUUUGUGUGACAACAACUCUGAAAUUUUUUAGACUUGUUUUAUGGCUUAGUAUGUGACCAAUAUUUUUGAAUGCUUCCUGUGUGCUAAUUUAUAAGAAUGUGUGUUCUCUAAUUGUUGAAUACAGAGAUCUACAUAUGUCUAUUAUCAAGUUUGUGAACUAUUGUUCAAUUUUUACUUACCUAUACUGAUUUUUUUGGUCAUUAUCUACUGAUAAUUGAAAGAGGUGCGUUAAUGUUCAACUGUAAUGGUGGAUUUGGCAAUUUCUCCUUGUAAUUCUAUCUCGUUUCUUGCUUUAUAUAUUUUGAGGGUGUUCAUUAGGAAUAUUCAAAUUAAAAAUUGU